rnacentral:rRNA from 1 species
UGGGGAAUUUUCCGCAAUGGGCGCAAGCCUGACGGAGCAAUACCGCGUGAGGGAGGAAGGCUUUUGGGUUGUAAACCUCUUUUCUCAAGGAAGAACAAAAUGACGGUACUUGAGGAAUCAGCAUCGGCUAACUCCGUGCCAGCAGCCGCGGUAAUACGGAGGAUGCAAGCGUUAUCCGGAAUUAUUGGGCGUAAAGCGUCCGCAGGUGGUAAUUCAAGUCUGCUGUCAAAGACCGAAGCUUAACUUCGGAAAGGCAGUGGAAACUGAAUUACUAGAGUUCGGGAGGGGUAGAGGGAAUUUCCAGUGUAGCGGUGAAAUGCGUAGAGAUUGGAAAGAACACCAGUGGCGAAGGCGCUCUACUGGACCGAGACUGACACUCAGGGACGAAAGCUAGGGGAGCGAAAGGGAUUAGAUACCCCCGUAGUCC